UUAAAAUUGUUAUUAUGGACUAAAUGUGAUUUUUCGUGAGUUAGGGUUACACCAUUAGAGACGUGAUUCAAGGUUCCACCACAAUCUUUUAAAUCAGCCAUUAGAGAGACUGAGAUGCAGAAGUCUGUGUGACGAUUCAGUUGUUUUGGUUUCGAUUAAGUCCUUUCAUUCUGGAACUCCUUGAAAUCAAAUAUACGUUUGGAGUCUCUAUGUCGGUCUUCUUCAUGUCGUUUCGUUUUUGAUUCAUCUGUUACGUAACCGGAUUAGCUGAAUCGUCGCCAUUAACAACGUUUUUAUUCCUUGGAUCCACACUACCCACGAUUUCUCAUUCAACACUUCUUAUCUCUCUCUCAGGUGGUGAAACUUCAGUGCUUCACCUAUAAAAAGUCCGGACGUUGUUCAUCCACUGUGGAGGUCCAGCGUCUGUUGGGAUUCACGGCGUUGAGGAGUUUCUAAGCUGAACGGUAUUAAAAAAUCAACCGACGGAGGAAAACCAGGCUUAGAUAAUGGCGUCAGUCUCCAAAGUGAUAUCUCUUUUCGGCAGAUCUUAAACUAGACAACGAGCUUCCGGGGCGACAAAAACUGGAGGUGGAUUAAGAGAUUGGAAACAAAUAAGAUAGGAAUAGAAGCAACAUUCAUAGCCGUUGUGUUAAAGAUACAGAAAACAGAGCAGUACGGUUGAUCUGCAUCUAGGAUUUAUUUCCCGGCACCAGUCCAUCAGCGUCCUCCUUAAUCACACAACCACAAUCAGACAACAAAAAAAACGCUUUGUCUUCUACAGCUAAUGGAAGAGCCACAACCAGUCGUCAACGAUAAACUUCGCACUGUAACCACCUGUCUCAUAUGCGAAGUCGUUCAUGUCUUCUCAUAAAUGUUACACCAAGAGCAACCAGAUAUCAUCAGGAUUCGUGAUCACUAACACUUCGUCUCAGGUCUCGGGUUCGAGGGGUAAGCCUCUGUUUUAAUAUCAGUUUUAGUGAAAGAGAAGUAUUAUAUCGAUCCAAUAGGUGUACUCAUCUUCGUGCCAAUAAAAAGGUUAGUAACUUAAUAUCCCAAACUAAUCUUUAUUAUUAAAUCUAAAUCUUAGAGCAUCUCUAACCCAUAGCUAUUUUCACCUCUAUAAUAGCAUUUACAGGUAAAAUUGUUCUAACCCACCUCUAUUUCUUCCUCUAUAAUAGAGAUCUCUAUUUUUUUCUCUAUUUAUAGAGGAAGAAAUAGCAUUCUUCUAUUUUUUACUCUACAUUUAGAGAUUGCUAUUUUAGAGGAAUACAUUGGAACAUAUCUCAUCUCUAUUAUAGAAUUCUUCUAUUUUAGAGGUGAAAAUAGCAAAAUACAUUAGAGACUUAAACAAUCAUAUUGUUUCAUACAUGGUAAUUUGAAAAAAACAAGAAAUCUAGAAUGAAAAGAGUGACCAUGGUUCCUGCCGUAAGCAGCAAUGAAAUAAUUGUUUCAUCCUCAGUUAGUCUUCCACAUUCGUUUUUGAUCUUUUGAUAUUAUUGUCUCUUUGUUUUGUCUGUAUAGGAAUGCUUAAUAGAUUCGAUUUCCUAUUUCUAUUAUAAGUUUAUUGGCUUUAUUAUAUUUUGAUGAUUCUAUUGCUCACGAGGACUGCGAGAGAUGAGAGAGAUUGGUGACAAAUAUACACAUUGAUUGUGCUUCGAGGUCGUCUUUUCCUAAUGCUACAUCUUGGACACAUUUUCUAUAUUAACAAAGACCAUGUAGCUAGCCAAAACUUUCUUGAAAAGAAGUGCGUCAAUAAGGAGGGCUCAAUUUGUUCUGCAACCAAAUAUGGGGGUAUCCAGAAAUUUGAAAGUCUAAAGAGCUUAAUGCAUACGUACUAAUUUCAUAGCCACAGAGCUCACUAUAACUCAUCCCCUGCUUUGUAAGUCAUUUACAUCUCCCCUCUUAUAUUUUUUUAGUGUGCUGGGAGAUGAUAAUAUGCUGGUGAUGACAUGCUUGGAGCUGACGCGGUGAAAAUUAACCCUACUGAUGGGUUUAUAAUUGGAUCCCCUGAGAAAACAGCUGAGAGAGAUGCUGCUGGAAUGCUUGACGGAACUGCUGUGGAGUCUGCUCUUCCACCUAUUGAACCUGCCUCAGGUGGAUCACAACAGCUGAGAAUGGACCAUUAAUGGAGGAGAAGCAGAAAGGGAAAUGUCCAUGCAUUACUCAACGUCAAUGAAAAAUACUAUAUCUUAAAAUAUCUUAAAAAGCAUCUUUGCAUAUGUUGUUUGAGAUUUAUUUUAUAAUUAAAACUCAUUUUUACACAUAAGUUUAAGUUAAUAUUUGCAUUUUA